AUGACCCGAGGCCGCUUUCCCUCCAGGGAGAAACGCCUGUCUUGUUGCCAUGGCCUUGGCUCCUGGCUGAAUACCCAGCAGAUCGUAUUUUGGCAAGGAAGCAGGACAAUGAGCACUUGGUGAAUGAGAAUCCGAAGGUGGAGGAAGGAAUGAGGAGAAUGAGGGUCCACAGGCGACCACUCUUGUCCUCAGUGCUCCAGACAUUGGCCUAGAAAUGCGAUGGACUGUGCAAAACCCUGGCCACCUCCACGCAGUGUUCACCUCCUUCCAUGCUGACCUUUCCCUCGUCUUCCACAUCAUGCAGCUCUUGGGGCCUCAGUAUCCCUUCGUUCCUUAGGAGGGAGGGGGGCUGAGGCCUGCUGUCCCCUGCCAGCAUCACAGCCUUCCCUAGGUCUCGGGUUCUCGGGUUCAUUGCCAUCCUCUCGGACCCCAGUGUUUUCUGCUUCUGCUGGCUAAUCGGUGGGGACCCGAGGCCCACUGGCUCUGUCGCCCUGCUGGUGCACGGGCGCAGUGAUUAAAUGUGUGUCUCUGCAAAAACGAAA